rnacentral:tRNA from 1 species
GGGAACGUAGCUCAACCUGGGAGAGCACUACGCUGAAGACGUAGUUGUCGUGGGUUCAAAUCCCACCGUUCCCA